CUGAUGUCAUAAAUAAGAGUGCCAAUUGUUAAAUCAACAAUGGGAGUCACUGAGUACAGGCUCCCCAUGUAGGAUCUCUGUCCUUAAUGUGUUUUACUAUGAAACUUAAAAACAACACUACUAGUCAAACAAUACCCUAUACCUUCUGCGGUUGUGUGAGUGCAGCCUGUUGAAAUCCUUGCUUAGUGUAUACUAAGUUGAUCUUCUGUAUAUGAAGGUAUUUGAGCAGCCAUUACCUGCUGCCUUCCUGGGAGAGCACUGGCAGGAAUCUGUAACCUGGGGUGGAGCUGACAUUCAAAUCUAGGUAUUCCAAGACAGGACACAGGAUUCCUAAUCCUUGAUUUAUCUGGUAAUCCAAAUGCAUGUGUCUAGAUAUAAGAGUUGUUUUAAACUGCUCUAUGCUGAUCUGAAAAAGGCAAGGAUCUCCUAGAACUCAUCAAGAGAAGAUAUUCUCUAUUUUCAUUGCUUAUGGACUUUGUAUUUUUUUUAUUGGAGAGUAUAUAUGGUUAGUCAAAUAAUAUUUAAGAUAAUUUGUCAAAUUUAGGCCCAAAGUGCAAGCGUCAAGAUGUAAAGGAAGCCAAUCUAUUUUCUCUCAAACUCCUUUACUUGAACUCAUAAUUUAAUCAUUUGUCUAUCUCAUGAAAUGUUUGUUACAUUUCUUUUAACAUGAACAAAAGACAGUAGAGAAAUGCUCUCAGAAAAAUAUGAACAACAUUGACUCUAUAAACUAAAAAUGAUAACUUUUCAGAAUUCUUUUACUGAAAUUUGUAGAAUUUGUCUUGUAAUAAGAUGUUUAAGAUAAAUAAUAAGGAUGCACUAAAGUCAUUUUAAAGAGAAAUAUAUAUUAAAUUAUUUAAUUAUGAUAGAGGAGCAUGUUUCUAACCUGAAUUAAAUAAGCAUUAGCAAUAAACAAUGUUUACACUUGUGUUCUCACAAUAUGGAAUCAUUUUGAUUCAGAAAGUAUUUCUGAGGAUAUACUUAAUGUGUUCCCAAUAUUUUAGCAGUAAUAAUAAUUUGAAAAAUCGGAUCUAUUCCUUUAGAAAUCUCUCCUAUGCAGAGUGCGGACUUAAAAGUGCCCAAGACGUCUGGGACAUCUUGCUGAAGAAAUCAUUUUAGCUUUUUUGGUCAGUGAUAAAGUUGACAUGAGAGAGGAAUUUCUCUGAAGAUAAAACUGAAAGCUAAAGGCUUACUUCUAUUCAGUAUUCACUUUAGAAACUUAGGAAAAAGAGCAUCAUGUGCUUGAAGAAAAUAAUUGGCCUAAGAAACCUUUAGAGGCCACAGAGUCUGUAGACUUAGUGCUAAUUUCUACCCGACCUUCCAGGGAUAUUUUCUGACAAAAACUACUUGAUGUCACUUUUCAUUCUUUUGUCUUAAGAUUUAUUUUAUUUAUUUGAAAGACAGAGUUACAGAGAGAGGUAGAGACAGAGAGAGAGGUCUUCCAUUUACUGGUUCACUCCCCAGAUGGCCACAAUGGCCGGAGCUGCACCGAUCCGAAGCCAGGAACCAGGAGUUCCUUCAUGUCUCCCACACGGGUGCAGGGGCCCAAGGACUUGGGCCAUCUUCUACUGCUUUCUCAGGCCAUAGCAGAGAGCUGGAUUGGAAGAGGAGCAGCCAGGACUAGAAAGAGCACCAGUAUGGGAUGCCGGCGCUGCAGCUAAUUGCUUUACCCACUGCACCAUGGCACUGGCCCCUACUUUUCAUUCUUAUAUUAGCAUAUUUAAUACUCAUCUAUAAAAUGACAAUUUUUUUUAACACAGAGAACCAAUUGAAAAUAAAUAAAACCUUGUCUCUAACCUCAAGAAAGGUUCACAGUCAAGAGGGCAAAAUAGAUAUAUAAUACCAAAAACCUGUAGUGCUGUAUUAUGAGAUCGUGUGCAAAGGAUAAAGUCUGGCACAGAUAAUGAGAGUGAUUAGUCUCCUGACAGUAGAGAAAAAAAAAAAUUGGAGGAGAAGAUUUGGCACACAAGAAUGAAAGAAGCCAAUUGGAACUGGUACAAAGUGCAAAUUUGAAUUAGUCAAAAUAUAAUAAUAAUGGGUAAUAAUAUCAGUAAGUUACUUGGGUUGUAGCAUGGAUUUAAGUAUUUUAAAUUCACUAGUUACCUUACUUGCUUCUCACAAAAAUCAUUAAAGAAGACAUUGUUAAUAUUACCUCCAUUUUUCUGAUGGGGAACUGAAGGGCAUAAUUUAAAAAGAUUGCUUCAAAUGAUAUAUGUAGGAAGCAAAACGAAAAACUUCAAACACAAGAAUCCAAGCACCAAAACCCUUGCUCCAACAGCCACAUGAUAGGGCUGCUUUCAUAGAAGGAAACAUUUGGAAGAAGUCACAUGUUCAUAAGCUGGCAUGUGAAACACUUUGUAUCUUCAGAAAAUGAUGCUUUUCAUCAUGACUACAGCAAAGCUCUUAGGGAAGUAUUAGAUUGUAAGUUUUAAAGAAUUAAUAGUGGUUAGAUAAAAAAUAAGCAUAUAUGCAGAAAAUAUGGCAAAUUUUAUAGAGAAAUAUAAUAACCAAAGCAAGGGUGGGUGAGUAUCACAUUACUCAAUAUGAGAAAAUAUGGCAGUCUGUGAUAAAAUGAUUACUGAGCACACAUAGGCAGGGUAUGAUUAUUAAAAUGUGCGGGAGGAAGGGUAUAGAAAAGAUUUUGAGGUUGAUAUGCACAUGGUAGGUGAAGUAGAAUAAAACAUCUUCUAACCUAAUCACCUGGCAAACAAGGCAGAUGGUAAUGCCACAGAACAGUUUAUUCUGAUGAGAGGUGCUUUCCCAAGGGUCAGAGUCCUAGUCUUCUUCCUUUGAGACCUCAUUUUCAUCUUUAGUAUUGCGUUAGGUUGUCCUGUGCUAGGAUGGCAUCACUUAGGUAUCAGAGAUUUUUCUGAGUCAGGCCACCUUUAACAUUCAAAACAUCACUGGACUCCUUUUUGUGGGCGAGGCAAGGGCGAGGUUUGUUACCAGGAACUCAUUAAAGCUACAGGAAUAACGAAAUUUUGUGAACUUUUUUCUUCAGACAGAAAAGUCCUGUGGGUUCCUUUAAAAUCACUUGACAACCACUUUUAUGAGACAAUCAAAUUAUUUUCCAGAAAGUGUCUCAUCAACAAUCAUAUAUCCUAGGGAUGGUGUUGGAUGCAGCAGAUAAAGCUGCUACUUGAUACUCCCACAUUCUGUAUUGGAAUGCUAAUUUGAUUCCCUAUAUUCAGUUUCCAAUCAAGCUUCCUGCUGAUUUGAAUUUAGUGAUAGAGAUGUAGGGUGACUUACUGAUAGCAUGUAGGUUAAGAUUCUUUGCAGCAUACACAGGUUACAUAAUUUAGUUCGACAAUUUCACAGACGGUUUACAAUGACUUGAAAGUUUGUUUCAAGAUAUCUAAUUUAUUUAUAUUCCUUUACACCUUCCUCUCUCCUAUUGAGGUUCAAGAAACAAACAAAAAGAUCAAUAGUCAAUAUCAAUGAAAUAACAUAGCAUAUGACCAGAAAGUUUCAUGGUGAAAUAUGAUUAUUAUUUUUUAAAUUUUAUUGUAUGUACUACUGAAAUACAAUGAUUAUACUGUGUAAAGAUAUCUGCUCUGUAAUGUUUACUACAAUGCUAUUCACAAUAGGCAAGAUGUGAAAUUGACCCAAGCAUACAUCAGUGGAUGGAGACAUAGAUGAAGAAAAUCUGGUAAAUACAGAAAUUGAUGUAUUAUUCAACAAUAAAUAAGAAUUAAACCCUGUCAUCUGUUGCAACAUGGAUAAAACUGGAGCAUGUGAAGCAAAAUAAGUAAAGCUUAGGAAAACAAAUACUCCAUGCUCUUGCUUAUAUGUGGAAACUGAAACAUAAUUUUCUAGAAGUAGUGAAUAAAAUACUGGUUUCUAAAGGUUAGAAAUGCUAGGAGGGGAUGAAGGAAAGAGGAAGAUGGAAAAUGGGUAUCCAAAUACUGUUUCAUAGAAGGAACAAGCUCUAAUUUCUACAGCAAAUAGGAUGACUGUAGUUCACAUAAAUUUAUUACGUAUGUUAUGAACAACUAAAACUCUAAAAAUGUUUAAGGGUGUUGCAGUGCUAAUUACCAUGACUUGAUAGUAUACAUUGUGUGUGUGUGUGUGUAUAUAUAUAUAUAUAUAUAUAUAUAUAUCAGCUUUUUUCACUCUAUACCCAUAAAUAUUUGCCACAGUUAUAUAUCUAUAAAAUUUUUAAAAGAUAUUUCAGCAGGUGAUGGUGGUGUUUGGUAGGGGCCCAGCUCUUCUAGAAAAGUUACCCAAUGAGCACAAGGUGAGGGGGUGAGGGUGAUCAAGAGAUUGCUCAUGUUUGCCUACCGAGUGCAACAGCCACAGCAACUGCAAUUCUUUUAGCUUGGUAUUACCAGACAUUGUCAAAACUGUUGAUGGAAACUGGGCCAAGAGACAAUGCUGGAAACAUCACUUUUCAGUCAAAUGAGCUGUAUCAACAAGAACUGAGCUUUAGUUCCCAUUGAGUUCUUAAAAGAACUAAAUUAUUAUGUUUCUGAAAGUUUUGUGGGAGAGAGUCCAGGAAGUUUCCCACCAUCAUCUUCAGUUUCUAUAUAGGAUUACCACUGUAAUUGCAAUCUGACUCCCCAAAGAACAUUACUGUGUUUAGUUGAUGUCCUGUGGGAUUCUAAAAUCCUUUUUCUAAUCUUCAGGACAUAUGAGCUAGCUGGCUCUAGGAAGAUCAUUCUAAAAGAACAUCCAGUAAUAGAAUUUCACCCAGUUGAGUGAAAUCAUACUACACGGACAGUUUUUCAAUGAGCAUUGGAGAUAAUGUUGUGAAGCUCCCUAGCACCAACAGAGCCAAUGAACUGUAUUAUAAAAGAUAUUUGUCAUAGAAAUACUCUGAAGAUGCAAUUCAAUAUCCCAGGUAAGGAUAUUUGAAUUAAAUGGAAAAGAAUAUUUAAGCCUUUAAAUUAAAAAUGUAAAAAUCUUGCUAUGCUUACCUUACGAAGAAGUUGGAGAAAAUUUGUGCUUCUUAGAGUUUUCUUACAAUUAAAGAACUAUUGACUUUGCUUAAUCAUGACUACAUAUUAUUUCAAAAUUUGCCUACUUAAGUUUGGAAUACAGAAAAAGCAAGUAACUCUUACCAAACCUUGAGUUAUUGUUAUGGUUUAAAAUGACAAGUUUAACUGGGACACCUGUGGCUAUAUUAAGGUAACAAUUUCUUCAUGAAGCUCUGAUUUAAUUUGUCUUUGAUAUCAGAUAUCAAUACUGCUCAAAAUCCUACCACAACUAAGGUACAAUCACAAUUUAAUGUGAUAUUUAAAUAAUGGUCCAUUACUUCAGAGAAAUUAUGAAAGUUUUCAAGCUGGGAAAAUGUGCUGUGAAGACAGUCCUGGACUCAGGAUUUCUUCAACAUUGGUUAUAUUGGUGAGUCAUACCCCUCCUUGGUAAAAGAAGUGGUUAGUAAUAGUAAGAAUUUCAUAUACAAUCCAGUAAUCUAUUAUUGUGUGAUAAAUCAUCACAAAAAUUAGUGGUUUUAAAUACUGUGUUCAGGAACCUGCAUCUCAGGAAAUACAGUGAGGACAGCUUAGCAUUAAAUCCACUGGGACCCAACAAUAGUGCCUUUAAAAACUGAAACUAUAUGAAUAUGUCUAGUCAGUGAUUCCAGCUUUACCUUAUGCAAUUAGCUGGGGCACAGACAGAUGGUCUUUCAAUGCCAUCUGGCAUUCCUGAUAACUUGGUAGUUAAGUUCAGGGUGAAUGUCCCAAGAGGGAAAGUAUGUCACAAGGGAGAUGCAUUGCCUUUUAUGAACUACUCAUGAAAGUGAUGUAGCGUCAUUCUCACUGUAUUUCAUCUGUAGAGGUAGUCAAACGUUCCUCCAAGUUUCAAUACUGAUUAUGAAGACAGCAUAUCUUGUUGACAAAUCUCUAUGCUGCAGAAGAAUAUGUGAAACAAGAAAUGUUGGUGUUCCACAACUGGAAAAGGCAGUCUAUCAGGCUACAUGCUUUGUGAUUGCUGAAGAGUCUCAUUUCUUUUUUUUAAGAUUUUAUUUAUUUAUUUGGGAGGUAGAGUUACAGACAAUGAGAAGGAGAGACAGAGAGAAGGUCUUCUUUCCAUUGGUUCACUCCUCAGAUGGCCGCAAUGGCCGAAGCUGCGCCAGUCUGAAGCCAGGAGCCAGGUGCUUUUUCCCAGUCUCCCAUGUGGGUGCAGGGGCCCAAGAACUUGGGCCAUCUUCCACUGCUUUCCCAUGCUGUAGCAGAGAGCUGGAUUGGAAUAGGGGGAUCAAGGACUAGAACCAAUGCCCACCUGGGUUGGUGGCACCGCAGGUGGAUGAUUAACCUGUUGCACCACGGAGCCAGCCCCUGAAGAGUCUCAUUUCUAUUUCUACUAAGCUACCCUAAUCAUGCCAUUCCCAUGUUUAAAGCUUUGGCUCCAGCUGUAAUGAAAUACUACGACCUCAUGAAUGUACAAUUUCAUACUUCUAGUGAUAGACUUGUGAUUUCUGCCAGAAAUAGCAUAUAGGCAUUUAUAUUCAAUAUAGUAUAAGCCAUUAAGUUUACUUGAUUUGAUUUUUUAACUUUUAUUUAGUAAAUAUAAAUUUCCAAAGUAGAGUUUAUGAUUACAAUGGUUCCCCCCGCAUAACUUCCCUCCAACUCGCACCCCUCCCAUCUCCUGCUCCCUCUCCCAUUCCAUUCACAUCAAGAUUCAUUUUCAAUUAUCUUUAUAUACAGAAGGUCAAUUUAGUAUAUAUUAAGUAAAGAUUUCAUCAGCUUGCACCCACACAGAAACACAAAGUGUAAAAUACUGUUUCAGUACUAGUUAAAGCAUUACUUCACAUUGGACAACACAUUAAGGACAGAUCCCACAUGAGAAGUAAGUACACAGUGACUCCUGUUGUCGACUUAACAAUUUGACACUCUUGUUUAUGGUGUUAGUAAUCUCCCUAGGCUCUAGUGAUGAGUUGCCAAGGCUAUGGAAGCCUUUGGAGUUCACCGACUCUGAUCAUAUUUAGACAAGGUCAUAGUCAGAGUGGAAGUUCUCUCCUCCCUUCAGAGAAAGGUACCUCCUUCUUUGAUGGUCCCCGUUCUUUCCACUGGGAUCUCACUCGCAGAGAUCUUUCAUUUAGGUUUUUUUUUUUGUUUUUUUUUUUUUUUUUUUUUGCCAGAAUGUCUUGGCUUUCCAUGCAUAAAAUACUCUCAUGGGCUCUUUAGCCAGAUCCGAAUGUCUUAAGGGCUGAUUCUGAGGCCAGAGUGCUGUUUAGGACAUCUGCCAUUCUAUGAGUCUGCUAUGUAUCCCACUUCCCAUGUUGGAUCGUUCUCUCCCUUUUUGAUUCUAUCAGUUAGUAUUAGCAGACACUAGUCUUGUUUUUGUGAUCCCUUUGACUUUUAAUCCUAUCAUUAUGAUCAAUUGUGAACUGAAAUUGAUCACUUGGACUAGUGAGAUGACUUUGGUACAUGCCACCUUGAUGGGAUUGUAUUGGAAUCCCCUGACACAUUUCUAACUCCACCAUUUGGGGCAAGUCCGAUUGAGCAUGUCCCAAAUUGUACAUCUCCUCUCUCUCUUAUUCCCUCUCUUAUAUUUAACAGGGAUAACUUUUCAGUUAAAUUUAACACCUAAGAAUGAUUUGAUGUUUACAUUGAUUGACAAACCAACAUUAAUAUAGAAUCAAACUCCUCAAUUUAUGUAUAAGAAAACAUCCUCAGAUAUAUUCAAUAACCAAAGUUAACUAUACAGCUACUAAGUAUACUAUUCAGAAUUUGAAAUUGAGUUUUUCUCAGUAUAAAUAUUCCAUCUUUUCCAACUCAUAUCAUGAGCACUUGUUAAUAGAGGCUUUUUUGAAUAAAAAAAAAAAAACUUUUUUUUUGCAAAAAGCCUCACCUCUCUAAACUAAUGAAAUCAUGGGUCACUAAGAAACUAACUAGUUUGCGACUGGUAGUUGCUGUUACUUAUUUUUUAUUUGCUCCCAUUGUAUUAAUUUAUUGCAAUUUAUAUGUAUAUAUUUCAAUAUUUAUAUAUUGAAUAUAAAUACACAAAUAUUUAUUUAUAUGUAUUAUUUAUUUGUAAUAUUUAUAUAUUGCAAAAUGAUUUAUUCCAAAAACCAAUUCUGUUCAUUGAAUAAGUGAGUCUCACUCCCAGAGACAGAGAAUUUCUGUGUGUAAUGAUAACUGAAUACAGAAUCAGAAAGUAUAGACUUCAAUCCUGGAUAAGUUACUGAGGAUGAAGUGGAAGAGAUGAUCCUGAAACUCUAGCAUCAUCACCAAGCAACUGAAGAGAUGUGAACAAUUUCACUCCUACUUCUUGACAUGUGAAAAAAAUAAUCAUUUUCUGCUUAAGCUGUUGAGGUAAUACUUUUGUUUGCUUGCAGUAUACACAAUUUCUAAAUGAUGUGGGUUCUAUUUCUUCAUUCGCAAAACUGUCUUCCAGGAAAUCUAAUUUUCCACCACACUUCACAAAGAUGUUUCUGUUCUUAACUCCUGUGGUUAAAGAAAACACAUUUUCAUAUUUCACGGGAAAGUGCCAAAAUUGCUUAUUUUUCAUCUUAGAAAUAAAGGUGAAUUAUUUAAAAUGAAAUUAAUGGGGAUAAAGUUUACGAUAUUGAAACACAUUUUAGAUAGUACAUCUAGAAAUCAAAAGAUAGAUAUUCAUGAUAGAAAUCGCCAUGUUUGGUUUGUAUACUUUGUAUGCAUAUCUAUAUUUAAAUGUUUGAGUGAUGUCACAGACAAUCCCCCCGUUAAAAUAUUUAUAAAUCAUAUAAAUAUAUUCAGUCUUUGAGAACCGCUGUAGUUUAACGAGGGUUUCAAAAUUAUUGAAUCAUAUCUUUGUACUGCUGCUGUUUCUGCUGCUGUGUAUAGUAUUUAUUAACUUUGAGAAAUGCUGAGCUUACUGAAAUUGUACUGGAUAUUUUCUCUGAAUCUUACAAAUUUAGGCUGCAUGAAAGAAACAGAUAAAAAUAAAUAAUAUACCUACUUAACACAUCAAUCUCUUUUACCUACUUUUUCUCUAAUAUGAAUUGUUACCCUUCAUAUAUUUUUUAACUUAAGCUGGCUUGUAAUUGGUGAUGCUCAGUUUGAAUAACCUUUUUUAGAAACUCUAAAUGGAAAUCCCAUUUUCUUCCUGCUCAGAACAAAAAUCUUGGAAUUAUUCAUUUUUAAGAUUUAUUUAUGUAGAAAGAGAAAGAGAGACAUCUGGCUUAUUCUCCUUACUUUAUAAGUAUACCACUUCUGAUAGAUUAGGGACUCACACUUACGACUUCAUUUCACCUUCAUUACCUCCUUGAAAGUGUCAUCACUUCUCACAGUUAAAUUGAGUGUUAAGGCUUCAAUGUAUGAAUUUGGAAGGGACACAAUUCAGUUCAUAAUCAACAUCUGUUUUGGAAGUCAUUGUUGCUACCAAAGAAUGUAAUAUAAUUUCAUUCCCCAUUUCUGCAGAUCACAAACACAUGCAGGUAUGGUUAUAGGCUAUUUAAAAUCAGUGAGACAGAGAGCAGAAAGCUAUAGUGUAUUGCGAAAAACUUUUCAAUUAAAGCAUGUAGAAAGAAUUUUUUAGUGUACUGAACAUGAAAAUAAAGAAUCUUAUAGAAAUAUAACCGAUAAAGACCAUGUUCAAACUAGAGCAUUGAAUAACUAUAGAUUGAGAGUUUUAGUGUUUGCAAAUUUCAUUAAUGAUGGCAAUACAGAGAAACAGUUUCUUCAUAAAACUACAUUGGAUAACAAUAGUCAUCCUCUGUAGUAAAGGGACCAAUGUGCCAUGUAUUUCUGAAUGACAGAAAAAAAUGCGUGAAAAGGCAAGAUCAUGAAUUAUGUUUUCUAUUCUGGUUGUUUGCAUUUUGUCAUUUUGAUAUUUGCUUUUGAGUGUACAUUUAAGAGGUAUUAAGAAGUAAUAUUAAUUUUUGUAAGAUAUUAAUUAUUUAUUUGGAAGUCCGAGCUACAGAGAGGCAGAGACAGAGAGAGAGAGAGAGAGAGAGAGAGGUCCAUCCGAUGGUUCACUCCCCAACUGCCAGAGCUGAGCCGAUCUGAAGCCAGGACCAGGAGCUUCUUCCAUGUCUCCCACAUAGGUGCAGGGGCCCAAGGACGUGGGCCAUCUUCCACUGCUUUCCCAGGCCAUAGCAGAGAGCUGGAUCAGAAGUGGAGCAGGCGAGACUGGAACCAGUGCCCAUAUAGGAUGCAGAUACCACAGGCAGUGGCUUUACCCUCUACACCACAGCAACAGCCCCAGUAAUAUUUAUUUCUAAGGGAUUAUGAAAGGUUUCUUAUUCAUUUUAUAUGUCUGCUAUAACAAGUUUCCUCAAACAUAGUGUCCUAAAACAAUAUAUUAUAUUACAUAUUUCCUCACCAGUAUGGAGGUGAGAAGUAAGGUGGUCUCAUCUGGUUUCUUUGUUCUGCUCACACAAGGCUGAACUGAAGGUAAUGGGCAAGUCUGUGCUUCUUGCUAGAGGCUCUGGAGACAAAUCUACUCCUGAGCUCACUAGGGUUGUUGACGAAGUUCAAUUUCUUAUGGUUCCAUAACUGAGAUUCCCCUUUUCUUGUGUCUGUCAGCUGGGAGCCACUGGAGCCAGAGUCGGUUCCUAAAUGCUGCUCUCAUUCUUUGUAAUGCUGUUCACUAGCAGUGAUGCUGAGUCUCCUUCACACUUUAAACCUCCCUGACUUCUACUGCAUCUCUAUGAUUCCAGAUGGAGAAAGCUCUUUGCUUUUAAGGCCAUUGUAUUUAGAUAGCGCCCACUUGUACAAUCCACAAUAAUACUUUAAAAGAUCAGUAGACUGCAAGGAUUAGGACAAAGGCAUUUUUUAGAGAACAUUCAGUUUUCAUCGAAUAAUAACAACAAAAGUGAUCUGUGUGUGGACACAUUACUAGGAAACUUAAUGCUAAAUAUUUUGUGUAUAUGGUCGAAUAUAUGCUGUUGUGAAUUUAGGCUAAAUAGCUUAAACUAAAUUUAUUCUUUAAAUAAACAUUUGAAAGCAGUUUUGGAUUUACAGAGAGUUGUCAAAGGACACAGAGAGUCCCCAUAUAGUCCACAUACAAAUUGUCUGAUUAUUAAUAUUUACAUUACUAUGGUAUACUCUUCACAGUCAAUGAGCCACUACUGAUAUAUUAUUAAUAACUAAAGGCUGCACUUUAUUCAGCUUCCAUCUCUUGCCUCUAGGAACACUCUCUGAAAGCCCUGACAUGACAUUGAAAACUUUUGUUUCUGCUGAUAUGGCCUUGCUAGAGAAGCAUGCAAGGACACACCGGUGACUAUAUCUGUCUUUGUGUAAUCUUCCAAGUACUCCUCCUAAGGAAUCAGAUAUAUGAGUAGAACUAUUUGAAUCUUUCUGGCCAGUGCACUCACAAGCAUUGAACGUAGUCAAUACUACUUGGAGCAGAUGUUAGCCUAAGUGAAUUCUGUCCAAAUUCCUAAAUCAUAAAAUUAUGGAAUUUAGCAAAUUACCAUCAAUUUGAGGAUAAGCUGAGGAUUCAGAGACACCUGGAAAUCAGUACAGUCCUGGAUCACAUAGUCCCAUAGAUGACAGCAGGCACUGGAAGGAGGGCAAGGAUGGGAAACAUAAGUAUCUCUGAAGAUGGAAGUCUACCAAAAUAGGAAAAACAGUCAAGGAUAACAUGUGUGGUAUGAGCAUAUGAUCAUGAAACAGCCAAAAUCUGCAUUUGCCUCACUUUUCUGUCUGGAACUGCAAAAUAUUCAGACUGAGUUUAGAACUUCAGGGUGCAUAAUCUAGUUUUAUCUUCAUCAAGGUCAAAAUACAGGAUAAAAGAAGCAAAGUUGUUCUUUAUAUUCCUUGGCAAUGCAAGUGUAUUUUUAUAACAAAAUCUAAAGUUAUACCAGAAUUUUACUUUCCAGGGCAACUAAGAAAUCAGUGGUACAAGACUAUCACAGUGUGUUCCAAAGAAAAUAAUAGUAGUAGUCUGACAUAUUUUUUCAAACAUACUUUAGAUUUCCAAUAGGGCUAAAUGUGAAUAUUGCUUAUUUCCUUUGCGGCAAGUUCUCUAGGCAAUUUUCACUACCUUGUCUGGCACACACAGAGAAUAUUGAAGGAGUGGAUGUUAAACCACAUGAUAUACAGGAUAACCUGCUGUGCCUUCAAUGACUUUUUUUUUUAAUUUAUUUAUUCAUUUGAAAAUCAGAGUUACCUUACGAGAGACAGAGACAGAAAGAGAGAAGAGAAAGAUUUUCCAUCUGCUGCUUUACUCCCCCAAAUGGCUGCAACAACCAUGGCUGAGCCAGGCUGAAGCCAGGAGCCAGGACCUUCAUCUGGGCCUCCCACCUGGGUGCAGAGGCUCAAGCACUUGGAUCAUUAUAUACAGUUUUCCCAGGUACAGUAGCAGGCAACUGGAUAAGAAAUGGAGCAACCAAGACUCAAACCAGCAUCCAUAAGGGAUUGCCAGCAGAAGGCAGCUUAACCUGUGUUUUUUUUUUUUUUUUAAUUCAAAAACUCAAUUUCUGAAAACAGCAUGGAAUUCUCUUUGAUCUCUAUGCCUUUGUGAUUUCCUCCUGUGCAACUGCAAAGAACCCCUCCAGCAUCACAGACUCUUCUUGGCAUACACAUAAAAUAUAAAGAACAUCACCAAGAAAACUGUAUAUCUAAGUGAUGUAAGUCUUGGAAGAAAAGAAGCCCGUGAGUGGUUUUACAGCUUUAAUAAUUGUUUGGCUAUUUAGCAAGGAGUGGGUUACAGGAGCCAACGCUCCUUCAAAACAUUUUCUGGGCCUCAGCACCAUUGACAUCGUGAACAGUGGUUCUCUGCUGUGGCUGCCAUCCUAAGCACUCUCUGGUGUUUAGCAACAUCCCUAGUUGCUACCUUCUAGAAAUCAAAUAACUCUUAACUUAUGAAUCACAAAAAUGUUUCCAGACAUUGUGAAAUAUACUCUGAGGCACAAAAUUAUGCUUAGAAACGAGAUACUACUUUUUUUUUUUUUUUUUUGACAGGCAGAGUAGACAGUGAGAGAGAGAGACAGAGAGACAGAGAGAAAGGUCUUCCUUUUUGCCGUUGGUUCACCCUCCAAUGGCCGCCACGGCCAGCACGCUGCGGCCAGCGCACCGCGCUGAUCCCAUGGCAGGAGCCAGGUGCUUCUCCUGGUCUCCCAUGGGGUGCAGGGCUCAAGCACUUGGGCCAUCCUCCACUGCACUCCCUGGCCACAGCAGAGAGCUGGCCUGGAAGAGGGGCAACCGGGACAGAAUCCGGAGCCCCGACUGGGACUAGAACCCAGUGUGCUGGCGCCGCAAGGCGGAAGAUUAGCCUAGCAAGCUGCGGCGCCGGCCUGAGAUACUUCUACGCAAUAAAAAAGAUUAAGAAAAACGUCCUUAGAAGCAGAUGGAUUUUGGUCCCCUUUUGAGAACCAUCACCUUGGGAACCAGAUGAAGCUAUUAUCCCCCUAUUCUUAAUUUUUAGUUUGAUACAUGUGAAUUGCAGGGAAAUUAUGAAAAGAUUGUGAGUAAACCAGUAUACAACCGAUAGUGGGUUAAGAAAUCUAUAUAGAAACACAACUGAGUGUCUUGAUAUUUUACUAUGUGCCAGGGAAUUGGUUAGCUAUUUUACACACGUGUAUUCUUUAAUAUAAUCCUCAGUACGAAUAUAUGCAAUGUAUAAUAUUUUCAUCAUCCUCUCUUAAGGCAAAAGAAGGAACUGGGACGUCAAAUUUACACCCUGUUUAAAGUUCUCAAAGUCAGUGAGUGGCAGAGGAGCACAUGCUCCAAGUCUUCAGGUUCCAGAUCAAGUGCUCUUAUCCAACAUUCACACUGCCUCCUUCAUCACCUAUUUAAUUUUCAAAAGGUCUUUCAUGUGUGUAUUACUGCACACAUUGUAUAGAUGGAACAACAAGUUCAGAGAAACUAGUCAUAUGCCUGGUAACACUCUGCAUAUUUUAAUUGCUUCUCUUCUGCAAUGCUUUUUCUUUUUUUUUUUUUUUUUUUUUUUUUUGGACAGGCAGAUUUAGACAGUGAGAGAGAGACAGACAGGGAAAAGGUCUUCCUUCCGUUGGUUCACCCCCCAAAUGGCCGCUACGGCCAGUGCACUGCGCCAAUCCGAAGCCAGGAGCCAGGUGCUUCCUCCUGGUCUCCCAAGUGGGUGCAGGGCCCAAGCACUUGGACCAUCCUCCACUGCCUUCCCAGGCCACAGCAGAGAGCUGUCCUGGAAGAGGAGCAACCUGGACAGAAUCUGGCACCCCAACUGUGACCAGAACCCAAGGUGCCGACGCCACAGGCGGAGGGUUAGCCAAGUGAGCCUCUUCUGCAAUGCUCUUAAAAAUAUUUUCUCUUCCCUUAUGUUUGAUGUGCCUCAAAUAAUCUAGAAGUCUACCUGAAUUUGACAGCCUAAUUUAACAAAAGAGAAUAUUGACCUAUUUCUAUUGUUAUUGUGAAGACAAGGUAAAUAAAACAAUUGAAAUAUCCUUGCAAUGAACUCUUGAUACAAAAUAAAAUUUCUUAAGCAAAUGUCACAAUGUCUUGAUUGAGAAUUUUUAAACACUGCUAUCUUACUGUCAUGCAAUUUUUAAUGUAAAAUUCUAAAUGUGACAUUGACAAUGUGAUAUUUAGACAGUUUCUAUUAAAUAUUGGUUUUGUUUGAUUGAUGUGGGUCCUUUGUGACAAACCUUUCUAUAUGAAAAAUUAUCUUUUGUCCAGUUGUUAUUUGGGAAGUGCAGAGAGUCAAUGAAAGGAUCACAACAUUAAACUGCAUUAUGGAAAAUAAGAUUCUAGCUGCUGUAAAGCUUCAAUACAAUUAACAGCCAUGUUUGAAUGAUUAUAAUUUCUUUGUGGUGAGAAUAUUCAGUGUCUUCUCUUAUAGUUACUUUGAAAUAUCGAACAUAAUAUUGUGACAACUAUUUAAAAAGAUCCCAUAUGCCAAAUACUAACUCCAAAGCUAAAAAUAAUAAUGAAUUUGAAAUUUUUAGUCAGAGAUGGCAACGUUAUUUGUCUAAAUUUAGUUGUCCCUAUAAUAAGACUAUCUGGUCCAAGUAUGUAGUUUCCUUCUUUAGAUCUACUUUCUACGUUCAUUUAUCUUAUAUCUAUCUGAGAUUUCCCUAUUGGAGAAAGUAUACUUCAAUAUACACGAUUGUUAAUAUAUUUAUUCUGUCUGCCCCAAAGAAAUUGACUGAAGUGGAGCAAUAGUGAUUGUCUCUUUAGUGCACAAUUUAACCUGGUGAGACCCUUCAAGUAGACAGUAUAGGCACUCAUGGAUCACGGUCUGACAGGAAACAUUCCAAUGUGACUAAGGUCGAAGGCCGGGCUGUUAAAGUUUGUUUACCAGAUGGUCGAAUCCCAUAGAAUAAAUCACAAUUCAGCUGUUGGAAAUUCCUUCAUGAACUAACAGCCUUCAGAGAGCCUUGUUAAUAUUGCAUGUUAACUUUAACUAUGCACACGGGGGACUCUCAUUUUCAUCUUUACCACAAGUCAUUUUGACCUACACGACUGUGGUCUCUAAUGUUACACUGAUCAACAUGUAACAAACAAGCAAAUGAGCUAUUUUUGCCAGAAGCUGUGUCUAUGUAUUUCAAACAAACCAAGAAAUUUGCUAUUAAAGGUUCUAAGUGGGGUAAAUUUCAUCUUUUUCAAACUCUGCCUUGUGAUCUUUAAUUUUAUCCACUCCUAUUUAUACAAAACUGUACACAAAGUACUGUGCUGAGUAGUGUUUCUUUAUGAUAAAUACAACAUGGGUCACAAAUAUGCAUUGUGCUGUCCAUGUAGUUUCUGCAUUCAUUCCCUUUUCAUGCUGAACAAGGAAUACAAAGAAUCCAGAAAUUGAUACUACUAACCAGGUGGCUCAUCAGAGAACUGAGGCCCUCUGGAUGAAACUGCCCGCAUGUGUGUGGCUACCUUGUACUUUCUAGCUGAGACUGUUAUGCAAUAGAGUAUGACUUCAUCAGUAGGCUCACAUGAAACCAGAAAACAAAACCACAAAAUGGGAAAAUUAAAUUAUUUUAAGUCACUAAAUCACAGAGUUCCGUGGCAUAAAUGACAAAAUAUAUCCUUUUCUAUUAUUUACGAUUGCUAUAUGUGGAGUCUUCUGAGUCAAGGUGAAGGCCUUGAUGGUAAAUGCUUCAGGCUUUGAGGACUGUUCUCCCUUAUCCCAUUCAACUCCAUCAUGGCAGUGCAGAGCAGCCACAGCUACUAGGUAAACAAACGGCCAGGAGUUUCAUCUUGUUCUAAAAAACAUGAUUUUCAAAAAUAGGCAAAGAGAUGGAAUUGGCUUACAGGAAAUAGUUUGGUGACCUCCUUUUUAAGUUAACAGUCUAGGAGAAUUUAUUUAAUUUUGUUUUCAUAAUAUGAAUCAAUUUUUAAUAAUUUUAAUAAUUAGUCUCUGUGUAAUUAGGAAUUUAAUAAUUAGCCUCCUCAGAAUAUUUUAUAUUGAAAACAAAAACCUGAAACACUGAUAGCACUAGUAUUUUAUAAACAGUAAAAUGGAAAUGUGAAGACAGUAUGCUCAAGCAUUGACACAGCCCUUAAGUCACCCCACAGAAUGUCCGCAUCCCAUAUCCUAGAGCCUGGUUCCAGUUCUGGUGAAUCCUCUUCCAAUGAAGCUUCCUACUAAUGUGUAUCCAGGGAGCAGCAAGUUACAGCUCAAAUUCUUGGGUUCCUACCAUCUAGGUGGGAGACCUAGACUGAGCUUUGGACUCUUGGAUUCAGCCUACCCCAGCACUGACUAUUGCUAACAUUUGAGAAGUGAACCAGAAGGUAGAAAAAUUUCUUUCUCUGUCUCUCUCUCUCUCCUCUUCUCCUCUCUCUCUCUUUCUCUCUUUCUCUCUCUUUCUCUUUCAAAUACAUUGACAAUAAAUAUCUAUAAUAUUUUAAAGUACUAUCCAGACAAUAAAAUGGAAUAAUGAAAUCUACCAUAUUUUCUAUGCCCUUAAAAUUAGCAAGAGUAGGGGCUGGCAUUGUGGAGUAGCAUGUGAAGCCACCGUCUGCAGUGCCAGCAUCCCACACAGGUGCAUUCCAUCCCUUUACACGCCAAACAAGGAAUACAAAGAAGCCAGGAAUUGAUACUGCUAACCAGGUGGCUCAUCAGAGAACUGAGGCCCUCUGGAUGAAACAAAUUCCCAGCUACUCCCCUCCCAAUCCAGCAACCUGCUAAUAUAUCUUGGAAAGCAGCUAGAGAUGACCAAACGCUUGGGUCCCUGUACCCAUGUGGAGACCUGUAAUUAGUUCCUGGCUCCUGCCUUCAGCUCUGCCCAGCCACAGCCAUUGCAGCAUUUGGGAAGUGAACCAAUGGACUCUCUCUGUCUUUCCUCGCAGUCACUCUCUGUAACUCUGCUAUUAAAAUUCAUAAAAUAAAUCUUUUUAAAAAUUAGCAAGCACAGACUCAUGUGCACUUAUGAAAAAUGCCAAACCAUUUCAAGAGUAUUUUUGUCUAAAGAAAUGGUAAGUGUAUAAAUAAUAUACUUUAACACCAUAUACUGCUCAGUAAACAUGUAAGUAGAAAGAGUUAAAAUAGGCUAUGCUGCAGCCGGCGCUGCAGCUCACUAGGCUAAUCCUCCACCUGCAGCGCCGGCACACCGGGUUCUAGUCCCGGUCGGGGCGCCGAAUUCUGUCCCACUUGCCCCUCUUCCAGGCCAGCUCUCUGCUAUUGCCCGGGAGUGCAGUGGAGGAUGGCCCAAGUCCUUGGGCCCUGCAUCCCAUGGGAGACCAGGAGAAGCACCUGGCUCCUGCUAUCGGAUCAGCGUGGUGCGCUGGCUGCAGCACACUGGCCGUGGCAGCCAUUGGAGGGUGAACCAAUGGCAAAGAAAGACCUUUCUCUCUGUCUCUCUCUCUCUCACUGUCCACUCUGCCUGUCAAAAAAAAAAAAAAAUAGGCUAUGCUGCAAUAUUAAAAACACCAGGUACCUAAAGAUCAUUUUGAUCUCCCUGCUGCUUCUUAAAAAACAGAAAAUGGAAUCUGUGUGUGAAAGGUGUUCUCCCUCUACCAGAAACAUCCUCAAGGAUGAGACAUGAAACCAGAAGUAUGUACUGACCUUGUCACAAAUUAUUCUUUAAAGAUUUAUUUAUUUAUUUGAAAGUCAGAGAUAUGGGAAGAGAGAAAGAGACAGAGAAAGAGAGAGAGAAAGAGAUCUAUCUGCUGAUUCACUCCCCAGAUGGCCUUAAUGGCCAGGGCUGGGCCAGGCCAAUGGUAGAAGCUAUGGGUGGCAGGGGAUCAAGCACUUGGGCCAUUUUCUACUGCUUUUCCCAGGUCAUUAGCAGAGAGCUGGAUAGGAAGAGGAGCAUCUGGACAGGAACCUGUGUGGCAGCUUUACCCACUAUGCAACAAUUUCAGCCCCUAUAAAAUAAUUUUUUAUCUUUAAGCCUUCCUACAUAAUUUAGCUCCAUUUUCACAAUUCCAAUUUGACAUGAUAAGUAACGACUCUAACUGAUUCUUCCAGGCUUCUUUUCCUCUUGAGAGUUUUUUAGGGCAUUGUAUUUUUCUCCUAUUAUUCUUUGUUGUAUCAGUUUAAUUUCCCAAUCCAUCUGGGACCUAAGGAAUGGAUAGGUGGAAUUUUUUUCACCCCUACAACAUUCACCUUUGAGAAAAAUCCUGUUUCUUUCAUCCUUGAAAUAGCAUUUGGCAUGAAUUUUAUGCAGGUUGGCUAAAUUUUUCAUUUUCUAUUCAAGUUACACAUAUCAAAGCACAAAAAAAAACAUGUUAUCAAAAAUACAAAUAGCCUUCUCACUGUGGAAAAAAUAAAAAUAAAUUCGAAGAGAUGAGCCUGGAAAAUACUGAACUUUUAAAUACUGCCUACAUGCUACUCAGAUUCUAAAGGAAUUAAAUAAUUGGCUCAUUCAAUAGUCUCCCUUGCCUGCAAAACAGACAAAUAGGACACAAAGAGAUGACAAUUGAAAAAGGCUAAAACCAAUUAAGUGGAAUUGAAAACAAUUUCUACAAGUGUCAUUUUCUACUCUUUCCAGCAGUCUCUUUCUGGAUGUUUGAAUGAUUGACAUAAAUAAAAAUACUUGAAUUCUGAUAGUGGCUGGAUGUUUGAUGAAGACUUUUUUUUUUAAACUUU